AAACUAAUAGAUUGUGGUUCUGUUGAAUACUUAUUGUGUUGGUAAU
rnacentral:tRNA from 1 species